GUCUCCGGCCGUGCCACCCUGAGCACGCCCGACCCCGUCUGAUCUCGGAAGCUAAGCAGGGUCGGGCCUGGUUAGUACUUGGAUGGGAGACCAGCCAGGAAGACCAGGUGCUGUAGGCG
rnacentral:rRNA from 1 species